rnacentral:rRNA from 1 species
UGGGGAAUUUUGCGCAAUGGGGGAAACCCUGACGCAGCAACGCCGCGUGGAGGAUGAAGUACUUCGGUACGUAAACUCCUUUCGAUCGGGACGAUUAUGACGGUACCGAGAGAAGAAGCCCCGGCUAACUUCGUGCCAGCAGCCGCGGUAAUACGAGGGGGGCGAGCGUUGUUCGGAAUUAUUGGGCGUAAAGGGUGCGUAGGCGGUUUGGUAAGUCUGAUGUGAAAUCUAUGGGCUCAACUCAUAGUCUGCAUCGGAAACUGCCGGGCUUGAGUAUGGGAGAGGUGAGUGGAAUUCCUGGUGUAGCGGUGAAAUGCGUAGAUAUCAGGAGGAACACCUGUGGCGAAAGCGGCUCACUGGACCAUAACUGACGCUGAUGCACGAAAGCUAGGGGAGCAAACA